rnacentral:tmRNA from 1 species
GGGGACGAUUGGAAUCGACGGGGCGUUGGGAGUCGUCACUUGCGCGUCGGGAGCGUUUGCAGUCCCGUACCCCUGUAAGCAAAACAUUAAUUGCCGAUGAUAAUUACGGCUAUGCCCUCGCGGCUUAAAAAAUAAGUCGCGCGUCCACGAUGUGUUUGGUCCGUUCGACCCAUCGAUGGACGUCGCAUAGAACGGAUUGCUCGACAGCGCUCGUCCGGGGUUCUGUCGCUAAGAUUCACCGGACUGGUCAAUUCCUCCCUGCCGGUCGGUUUCAGGGGAUUGAUAAGACUUCAAUAGACCGGACACACGCGUAGAGGGUGCCGUUUCCCCGUCGCCGGACCCGGGUUCGAAUCCCGGCGUCUCCACUA